rnacentral:rRNA from 1 species
CCUACGGGAGGCAGCAGUGAGGAAUAUUGGUCAAUGGCCGGAAGGCUGAACCAGCCAAGCCGCGUGAAUGACGAAGGUGCCAAGCAUUGUAAACUUCUUUUGUCAAGGGACAAAAUCAGGCUCGAGAGCCUGACCGAGGGUACUUGAAGAAAAAGCAUCGGCUAACUCCGUGCCAGCAGCCGCGGUAAUACGGAGGAUGCGAGCGUUAUCCGGAUUGAUUGGGUUUAAAGGGUGCGUAGGCGGACUGUUAAGUCAGCGGUAAAAGCCCGGGGCUCAACCCCGGCGAGCCGUUGAAACUGGAUGUCUUGAGUGGUCAAGAGGUAUGCGGAAUGCGCAGUGUAGCGGUGAAAUGCUUAGAUAUUGCGCAGAACUCCGAUUGCGAAGGCAGCAUACCGGCGGCGAUCUGACGCUGAGGCACGAAAGCGUGGGUAUCGAACAGGAUUAGAUACCCCAGUAGUC